UACGUAGGGUGCGAGCGUUGUCCGGAAUUAUUGGGCGUAAAGAGCUCGUAGGCGGUUUGUCGCGUCGACUGUGAAAACUCGGGGCUUAACCCCGAGCCUGCAGUGGAUACGGGCAGACUAGAGGUAGGUAGGGGAGAAUGGAAUUCCCGGUGUAGCGGUGAAAUGCGCAGAUAUCAGGAGGAACACCGAUUGCGAAGGCAGCUCGCUGGGACGUGACUGACGCUGAGACGCGAAAGCGUGGGGAGCAAACAGG
rnacentral:rRNA from 1 species